rnacentral:rRNA from 1 species
UACGAAGGGGGCUAGCGUUGUUCGGAUUUACUGGGCGUAAAGCGCACGUAGGCGGAUCUUUAAGUCAGAGGUGAAAUCCCAAGGCUCAACCUUGGAACUGCCUUUGAUACUGGGGAUCUUGAGUCCGGGAGAGGUGAGUGGAAUUCCGAGUGUAGAGGUGAAAUUCGUAGAUAUUCGGAAGAACACCAGUGGCGAAGGCGACUCACUGGACACGUAUUGACGCUGAGGUGCGAAAGCGUGGGGAGCAAACAGG